rnacentral:rRNA from 1 species
GACGAAGGGGGCUAGCGUUGUUCGGAAUUACUGGGCGUAAAGCGUGCGUAGGUGGUUUGUUAAGUCUGAUGUGAAAGCCCUGGGCUCAACCUGGGAAUUGCAUUGGAUACUAGCAGGCUAGAGUGCGGUAGAGGAUGGCGGAAUUCCCGAUGUAGCAGUGAAAUGCGUAGAGAUCGGGAGGAACAUCUGUGGCGAAGGCGGCCAUCUGGACCAGCACUGACACUGAGGCACGAAAGCGUGGGGAGCGAACAGG